rnacentral:lncRNA from 1 species
GGGAAGUGAGGAGCGUCUCUGCCUGGCCGCCCAUCGUCUGGGAUGUGAGGAUCCCCUCUGCCUGGCUGUCCAGUCUGGAAAGUGAGGAGCGUCUCUGCCCGGCCGCCAUCCCAUCUAGGAAGUGAGGAGCGCCUCUUCCGGGCCGCCAUCCCAUCUAGGAAGUGAGGAGCGUCUCUGCCCGGCGGCCCAUCGUCUGAGAUGUGGGGAGUGCCUCUGCCCGGCCGCCCCGUCUGAGUAGUGAGGAGACCCUCUGCCUGGCAACCACCCCGUCUAAGAAGUGAGGAGCCCCUCCGCCCGGCAGCCACCCCGUCUGAGAAGCAACAAUGGAUCAAUCUUCAGUAAUAAACCUUCACUUGUUGAACUACGAAGGAAAGCACGUACCACAAAGGGACCUGGAAACAAAAACGAGAAUCAACUUUGAUUUUUAUAUCGCAAUACCACCUCAUGAGCAAAUAAAGUGGAGAGCUGGAUUUGGUUUGCUGACUCCUGGGACAGAAGACAGACUGAAGGAUGUCUGAGGAAAUGAAUGAGUAAAAGCCACCAUUUUUGUUUUGUGGAGAGCUGGAUUUGGUUUGCUGACUCCUGGGACAGAAGACAGACUGAAGGAUGUCUGAGGAAAUGAAUGAGUAAAAGUCACCAUUUUUGUUUUGCUACAAUUCAGACAUAGUAGUCAGCAAGCUUCAACCACAUAGAAAAAAAAACCCUAGAAGACUGCAACAACAAAAAAGAGGUGGGGUGGAAACCUUGAUCCCUGGAUAAUCCUGUGGAGCGAAGAAGCCCUGAGCUGAAAACCAAUUUAAACUUGGGAGAAAAUUAACUUUCUAUCAAAGUUAAAUCACUGUUAUUUGGUUUCUUUAAAACAGUUGAAUCAAUAAUGUGUGGUCCACUGAUCAUCAUGCAUGUUAUUUUGAAAUACGAACGACCCUUUAUCUACCUGGUAUAUAUUUUCGAACUCCUCCUAGAACCCAUCCUUGACCUACUUGUUCCAUUGCUACUCCAAACAAUCAUUGCUACUUUUCUGUAACUUCUAUAUCAUGUAUAUAUAUAAACACAUACCUUUUUUUUUUUUUUUUG